GAUGAACGCUAGCGGCAGGCUUAAUACAUGCAAGUCGAGGGGCAGCGCGGGUAGCAAUACCUGGCGGCGACCGGCAAACGGGUGCGGAACACGUACGCAACCUUCCCAAAACUGGGGAAUAGCCCUCCGAAAGGAGGAUUAAUACCCCGUAACAUAACGAAGUGGCAUCACUUUGUUAUUAUAGUUCCGACGGUUUUGGAUGGGCGUGCGCCUGAUUAGGUAGUUGGCGGGGUAACGGCCCACCAAGCCUACGAUCAGUAACUGGUGUGAGAGCACGGCCAGUCACACGGGCACUGAGACACGGGCCCGACUCCUACGGGAGGCAGCAGUAAGGAAUAUUGGUCAAUGGACGCAAGUCUGAACCAGCCAUGCCGCGUGAAGGAUGAAGGUCCUCUGGAUUGUAAACUUCUUUUAUAUGGGACGAAAAAAGGGCAUUCUUGCUCACUUGACGGUACCAUAGGAAUAAGCACCGGCUAACUCCGUG
rnacentral:rRNA from 1 species